GCAGCAGUGUGGCGUAGUGGUAAGGAGCAGGGUUCUUAACCAAAAGGUUGCUGGUUCGAUUCCACACUGGGGCA